rnacentral:lncRNA from 10 species
AGAGCAUCUUAAUAAUGCCUCGCAGAAGUUUAUGGGGCUGCCCUCUUUGAGACACAUGGUCAGUUGCCUUAGUUUUCUCGACAUUCCAUGCUUAUCUAUCAACUUCCCAGAAGUAUAAUAUUUUAAGUAGAAAUAGUUCAGUCCUGGUGAGCUAUUCUGGGAGAAAGAGGACAAGCUGCUUGUUCUCAGUGCAAUGCACCCUCUUGCUUCUCUGUCGUGGCCCCAUGGUCGUCUAGGUGUGGGAACGAGGGAAAUAAGAAAGGGUUACAUUUUGCUUACUGAACACCAGCAAGGAAGUUGUGAGCUGCCCCAUGGAGAGGCCUAUAUGACAGAGAACUGGUCAACAGCCAACAAAGAAUGGAGGGCCUCCGUGCAGCAGCCCAUGAGGAUCUGAAUCCCACCAAUCACCUUGCAAGGGAGCUUGGAAAAGGAUCCACCUAGGCUUGACACGACUGAUGUCCCGGCUGACUACAGGCUCAUAAGAGGGCUCAGCUAAGCAAUGCCAAAAUUCCUCACCCACAGAAACUGUGAGCCUUGUGAAGAAGGUGCCUUGCUUCCCUUUCACCUUCCACCAUGAUUGUAAGUUUCCUGAGGCCUCCCCAGCCAUGUGAAACUCUGCAGUUGUCUGCAGGUAACUGAAACUGCAGACAGAGAAACUGUGGAUAAGGCGACUGCUGUAAUGCAUUCACUAUACUUCAUCUCUGAAUGUGAGCAACUCCAGAAAACUACUUGGCCAGAAAUGGGGUUCCACUAUGUUGCCCAAGCUUUGAACUCCCAGACUGAAGAGAUCCUCCUACCUUCGCCUCCCAAAAUGCUGGGAUUAAGGGCACAAGCCACUGUGCCCUGCCUCCUACAAUAUUUUGACAGACAUCAAAUAGCUGCACUCUUUCUGAACAAGCCUGAAUGUAACCUCUUAUUUUCUUCUCAACUAUGGUAGUUCAGGUCACUAUACUAAUUAAUCAGCAUUGUUACCAUUUGUGACAGACUCAACAGUAUCCAGAGUAGAGCAAAUUAUCAUUGAAAGCACUUUUGAAAAAUGGAAUUGGGAACUGGUAGUAUUUAGCAAAGAAUGACAGUAUCCAACAGAACACGGGAGCUCUCUUCAAAUAUUUAAAGGAGUGGUGUAUGGAAGAGGAAGUAGAUUCACUAUUUGUUACAGCUCUUGAAGUCAAAACAAAGAAGAAGGCAGAGAAUUGCAGGAUCUCUGCUUAUAAUAGAAAAUGUCAAUUAGUGAAAUAAGUGCUCUUAAAAUGCUAUAGUUACUCUCAACCCCUAGAACUAUGCAAAAGUGGCUGAGGUAUUAAUCAUUGAGAAGACUUUGGUAACAGUGAAAUAGGUGACCAAUAAAUUAGUACCCAGAGGCUAAAUUAUGACAUUAAAACACCCUCGGAUUUUCAUAAAAAUAAUUAUUUUGCCACCAUUUGUACCAGAUUAUGUCUGAUUGUAUUCAAAUAUUUUAUGCAAAUAUUUCAGCACAGCAUAAUUACUGAGUUUGAUUUGUAGACAUGAUUUAUAUAUUCAAAGAAGACUGUGGACAUCUCUCUUGUUGAAAGCUCUUUGGGCAAAAACUAAAGUGGCCUUAGACUCAACGUGCUCUGCAAUAUUAUCUGCAUUAAUUUUGAAUGUCACAAACAAUUAGAAGCAUUGUUAGAGAUAAAAGUAUUUAUCAUCAUGUAUGUCAAUGUAUUCUCUUAAUAAGUUAAUAGAUGGAGAUCAUCAUUCUAGAUUUACUUUUAUCUUCAUUUUGACAUCUGAGGAAUUAUGGUAAUGUUAUGUCAGAAAGUAUGAAUAAAUGCUUGGAAAGUGUCAAAAUUACACAGGUGCCAUUUUGAAAGGGGUAACUUCAGAAAAGUGCACUUGUAAUAUCCAGGAAUUCAUACGGAUAGUGAAUAGAAUGAUAGAAGACAAUGCAAAGCACUUCCUCACAGAUAGCCAAGUGAGAAACACAUAAAGAAUGAUGGAGUUGGGAAAUCUUUGUAUUGUAACCACCAUAUUGGCAUCAAGGCCAACUAGAUGACAAAAUUAAUUUGAUGAACAAGAUAUGAUAUAUACAUAGUCUGAAAUAGCCCAUUGAUUUCUUAUCAAUACCACAUGUCUUAUAAAUUGCAAAGGUAAAAUUAAUAACUUUGUACGGGGAUAUCCAAGAGACACCAUUUUAACCAAGUGAUGAAGUUUAUCAUCACCAAUAAUGAGACAGAGGCAUCAUGUGCAUCUAGACAUAAGGUACUAGAGAAAACACACCUCAUUUUGAUGGUACUCCUGCCAAAAAUAAAUAAAUUGAAUCCAGUUAUCAGGAAUCAUUAAACCAGCUCAUAUCGAAGGAUGUUCAACAAAAUAACUGGCCUGUCUUCAGAUAUAUCAGCUUCAUGAACAAACAAGAAACAGAGAAUGUUCCAGACUGAAGGAAAGUAAAGUUACCAGACAAUGUGAUGUCAUUCAUGAUUGUGAAUUGGAUACUGGACCAGAAAAAAAUAUAGCUAAAAAAGACAGUAUAGCAAUAAUGAAGAAAUUUUCAGUAUCACUGUGAAUUAGAUAGUACUGCGCCAAUGUUAUCAAUGAUACCAAUACUAUCAAUGAAUUAGAUAGUAUUGUACCAAUGUUAAAUGUCUUGAUUUUGUUAAUUGUAUCAGGUUCGUGCAGUUUUUAUCUUUGGGAAAUUCAUACCAAAAUAUUUGGUGUUAGGUGAAUAUGAUAUCUACAACUUAAUUUCAAGUAGUUCAGAAAAGUAUAUGCAUAUAUAGAUAUACAUAUAUAGAUAUAUAGAAUUGUGUGUGUUAUGUGUGUAUUUGUGUGCAUGAAAACACUUAGGGGAGAGAAGACAGAUAGAUGAUAGGUAGAUAGGUAGCUAGAGAGAGAGAGAGACAGACAGAUAGACAGACAGAAAGACAGACAGGUCCCUUAGACAGAUAGAUGGACAGACAGACAGACGGGCAGACGGAUGGACAGACAGACAGAAAAAUAGACGGACAGAAAGAAAGACAGAUAGACAGAUAGAUGGACGGAGGACGAAAAGACAUACAGACAGACAGACAGAUGGACAGAUAGAAAAACAGACAGAAAGAUAGACAGAAAGGUAGACAGACUGAAAGGUAGACAGGCAGAUAGAAAGACAGGUAGGUAGGUAGGUAGGUAGAUAGAUAGAUAGAUAGAUAGAUGAUAGAUAGAUAGAUAGAUAGAUAGAUAGCCAGCCAGCCAGUCAGACAAAUAGACAGAUAGGCAGACAGAUAGACAGAUAGAUAGACAGAUAGACAGAAAGAUAGUUAGACAGACAGAUCCACAGAUAGAUAGACAAACGAUAGCCAGCCAGCAAGCCAGCCAGACAGACAAAUAGAGAGACAGACAGAUAGAUAGACAGAGAGACAGAUAGACAGAUAUAGAUAGAUAGAUAGAUACAAAUAGAUGGAUAGGUAGAUGAUAGAUAGAUAGAUAGAUAGAUAGAUAGAUAGAUAGAUAGAUAGACAGUCAGAUAGAGCAAAGCAGUUGGGCGCAAUGGUUCACACCUAUAAUCCCAGCACUUUGGGAGGCUGAGGCGGGCGGACCUGAGGUCGGGAGUUCAAGACCAGUCUGGCCAACAUGGCGAAACCCCGUCUCUACUAGAAAUAUAAAAAUUAGCCAGGUGUGGUGGCGGGUGCCUGUAAUCCCAGCUACUUGGGAGGCUGAGGCAGGGAGAACUGCUUGAACCAGGGAGGCAGAGGUUGCAGUGAGCCAAGACUGUGCCACUGCACUCCAGCCUGAGUGAGACUCUGUCAAAAAACAAAACAAAACAAAACAAAAAACCACAAUAACAUAGAUAGAGCAAAGCCACUGUGGGAAAUUUUUAACAUGUCCUAAAUCUGGUUGAAUGUUUACAGCAAAUUUUAUACUGUACUUUGAUAUUUUCUGUGUGCUUGAAAAUAUAUAAAAUAAAAAUUUAUAAAAAUAAAAAGAGAACCAGAAACGAAAGUUGGAAUAAUCAAAAAUAAAUCUAAACAAUGAUGCAUCUCUGGGUAAUCAGUUGUUUUUUUUAGCUCAUUCUGAUGAAAUUUUUGGCUGAAUUGACUUCAGCAGUGGAUCUCACUUUCUGAAAGAUUUGUGCUGUCCUGUUAGGCUAUCUGAUACACAGGACUCAGUUUGUGGGAAACAGAAAUGAAGUACAGUAACUUAUGGUAAAUAUUUAACAAGAAUACAGCUCAGUACCCUGCAGCAUGAACUGCAGGGAAACUUACCUUAAGCAGAACCAUACCUAACAAUAUUUAGGUUUCUUAAGCUGUUUGGGAUUACACCACUUGUGCCUGCAUAAUGUCUAGGAUGCCUUCUUAACAGCAAUUGCAAUUUUUUUUGC